rnacentral:rRNA from 1 species
UACGUAGGGGGCAAGCGUUGUCCGGAAUCAUUGGGCGUAAAGCGCGUGUAGGCGGCCCGGUAAGUCCGCUGUGAAAGUCCAGGGCUCAACCCUGGGAUGCCGGUGGAUACUGUCGGGCUCGAGUCCGGAAGAGGCGAGUGGAAUUCCUGGUGUAGCGGUGAAAUGCGCAGAUAUCAGGAGGAACACCGGUGGCGAAGGCGGUUCUCUGGGAAUGUCCUGACGCUGAGGAGCGAAAGUGUGGGGAGCGAACAGG